rnacentral:rRNA from 1 species
GACGAACGCUGGCGGCGUGCUUAACACAUGCAAGUCGAACGGAAAUGCCCUGCUUUUGUGGGGUGCUCGAGUGGCGAACGGGUGAGUAACACGUGAGUAACCUGCCCUUGACUUUGGGAUAACUUCAGGAAACUGGGGCUAAUACCGGAUAGGAGCUCCUGCUGCAUGGUGGGGGUUGGAAAGUUUCGGCGGUUGGGGAUGGACUCGCGGCUUAUCAGCUUGUUGGUGGGGUAGUGGCUUACCAAGGCUUUGACGGGUAGCCGGCCUGAGAGGGUGACCGGCCACAUUGGGACUGAGAUACGGCCCAGACUCCUACGGGAGGCAGCAGUGGGGAAUAUUGCACAAUGGGCGGAAGCCUGAUGCAGCAACGCCGCGUGCGGGAUGACGGCCUUCGGGUUGUAAACCGCUUUCGCCUGUGACGAAGCGUGAGUGACGGUAAUGGGUAAAGAAGCACCGGCUAACUACGUG